rnacentral:rRNA from 1 species
GAAAGAAACUAACAAGGAUUCCCCUAGUAACUGCGAGUGAAGCGGGAAAAGCUCAAAUUUAAAAUCUGGCGGUCUUUGGCUGUCCGAGUUGUAAUCUAGAGAAGUGCUAUCCGCGCUGGACCGUGUACAAGUCUCCUGGAAUGGAGCGUCAUAGAGGGUGAGAAUCCCGUCUUUGACACGGACUGCCAGGGCUUUGUGAUGUGCUCUCGAAGAGUCGAGUUGUUUGGGAAUGCAGCUCAAAAUGGGUGGUAAAUUCCAUCUAAAGCUAAAUAUUGGCGAGAGACCGAUAGCGAACAAGUACCGUGAGGGAAAGAUGAAAAGAACUUUGGAAAGAGAGUUAAACAGUACGUGAAAUUGCUGAAAGGGAAACGCUUGAAGUCAGUCGCGUUGAACAGGGAUCAACCUUGCUUUUGCUUGGUGCACUUCCUGAUUGACGGGUCAGCAUCAAUUUUGACUAUUGGAAAAAGAUCAGGGGAAUGUGACAUCUUCGGAUGUGUUAUAGCCCUUGGUUGCAUACAAUGGUUGGGAUUGAGGAACUCAGCACGCCGCAAGGCCGGGUUUUUAACCACGUACGUGCUUAGGAUGCUGGCAUAAUGGCUUUAAUCGACCCGUCUUGAAACACGGACCAAGGAGUCUAACAUGCCUGCGAGUGUUUGGGUGGAAAACCCGAGCGCGUAAUGAAAGUGAAAGUUGAGAUCCCCGUCGUAGGGAGCAUCGACGCCCGGACCAGACCUUUUGUGACGGUUCCGCGGUAGAGCAUGUAUGUUGGGACCCGAAAGAUGGUGAACUAUGCCUGAAUAGGGUGAAGCCAGGGGAAACCCUGGUGGAGGCUCGUAGCGAUUCUGACGUGCAAAUCGAUCGUCAAAUUUGGGUAUAGGGGCGAAAGACUAAUCGAACCAUCUAGUAGCUGG